AACGAACGCUGGCGGCAGGCCUAACACAUGCAAGUCGAGCGAGGACUUCGGUUCUAUCGGCGGACGGGUGAGUAACGCGUGGGAAUGUGCCCUUCUCUACGGCAUAGCCCUGGGAAACUGGGAGUAAUACCGUAUACGCCCUAUUGGGGAAAGAUUUAUCGGAGAAGGAUCAGCCCGCGUUGGAUUAGGUAGUUGGUGGGGUAAUGGCCUACCAAGCCGAUGAUCCAUAGCUGGUUUGAGAGGAUGAUCAGCCACACUGGGACUGAGACACGGCCCAGACUCCUACGGGAGGCAGCAGUGGGGAAUCUUAGACAAUGGGGGCAACGAUGAACUAGCCAUGCCGCGUGAGUGAUGAAGGCCGUAGGGUUGUAAAGCGCUUUCAGCUGGGAAGAUAAUGACGGUACCAGCAGAAGAAGCCACGGCUAACUCCGUG
rnacentral:rRNA from 1 species